UGAGUACAGUAUACAUUAUUGGUGGUACAUGACAAUGCAGGGGUCCCCAAAUCCCCCCCCCCUUCUUCAGGGGAUCUGGGAUGGAAACUGUAUAGAGGUGAGGAGAUUCUCAGUGUGUUGAGGGAUGAGCUGGGGAGAGGACUCCCCAGUAACUGAGGGCCUCUGUUCUUCUUGUCACUGGGGCUGGUGGUCCAGUGGUCUCUCAUUCCUUGGAGGCCUUUUAUACCAUAAGGUCCACCACCUGGUCGCUUUAGCAAAAUUCAUCGUCAUACUUGACAAAGUGGUCAUUGAGAGCAAUGCCAGUCCCCACAUUGGAGGUGGAAGAAUGUGUGUCACUGUUGAUGUCACAGGAGAUACCUGGUCCUCAGUGUAGCACAGGAUGCCCUUGAGGGAAUCCUCUGAUGCCUGCUUCACCACCUUCUUGAUGUCAUCAUAUUUGUAGCUUUCUCCAGGUGUCAGUU
rnacentral:lncRNA from 1 species